rnacentral:rRNA from 1 species
CCUACGGGUGGCUGCAGUGGGGAAUAUUGGGCAAUGGAGGCAACUCUGACCCAGCAACGCCGCGUGAAUGAUGAAGGUCUUCGGCUUGUAAAGUUCUGUGAUGGGGGAUGAACACAAUGACGGUACCCCAAUAGCACGCCACGGCUAACCACGUGCAAGCAGCCGCGGUAAUACGUAGGGGGCGAGCUUUAUCCGGUAUGACUGGGCGUAGAGGGUGCGGAGGGGGUGUAGUAAGUAUGCAGUGGAAUUCCGGGGCGCAACCGCGGCGCUGCCGCUAAAACUGUUAGGCUAGAGUGUGGGAGGGGUAAGUGGAAUUCCUGGUGUAGCGGUGGAAUGUGUAGAUAUUAGGAGGAACACCAGGGGCGAAGGCGACUUACUGGACCGUAACUGACGCUGAGGCACGAAAGCGUGGGGAGCGAACAGGAUUAGAUACCCUUGUAGUC